rnacentral:rRNA from 1 species
ACGGAAGGCAGCAGUGGGGGAUAUUGCACAAUGGGCGCAAGCCUGAUGCAGCGAUGCCGCGUGAGGGAAGAAGGUUUUCGGAUUGUAAACCUCUGUCAACAGGGACGAAAAUGACGGUACCUGUGAAGGAAGCUCCGGCUAACUACGUGCCAGCAGCCGUGGUAAUACGUAGGGAGCAAGCGUUAUCCGGAAUUACUGGGUGUAAAGGGAGUGUAGGCGGGACUGUAAGUCAGAUGUGAAAUAUGCCGGCUCAACUGGCAGACUGCAUUUGAAACUGCGGUUCUUGAGUGAAGUAGAGGUAAGCGGAAUUCCUAGUGUAGCGGUGAAAUGCGUAGAUAUUAGGAGGAACAUCAGUGGCGAAGGCGGCUUACUGGGAUUUAACUGACGCUGAGGCUCGAAAGCGUGGGGAGCAAACAGGAUUAGAUACCCUGGUA